ensembl:lncRNA novel transcript
CUAGCCUCCAAGACAGCCCCGCCGCCAGAACAGCCUCUCCUCCAGGACCGGCCAGCCUACGAGAGAGCCCCGCCUACGGUACAACCCGCCUCCGGGACCGCAGGACUCCACCUCCGAGACAGCUCAGUCCCCAGGACAGUCCCGCCUCCGAGACGGCCCCGCCUCCAGGACGGCCCCUACCUCCGAGACCGCCCCGCCUCCGGGACCGCCCCGCCCCGCCUCGCCUCCGACACGUCCCCCGGGCGCCACUGCAGAGCCUGUCCGUCAGUCCCUAGGUAUCCGCACUGCUCAGGGGAGGAUUCCCUGGGAGCACCCACCAGCUGAGAUCUGCACAUCAGCCACAAUCCUCUCAGGACGGCGGAAAGGGAAGGGCUCAGCCGCCAGCCUGGCCACAGCCUGCAUCAUCUCAUCCCAGAGGCGGAGCACAGGCUCGGGGUCCUUCAGGGCCUGAAGGUUUGUGGUUGGCACUGUCAGGAUGAUGUUGUCCGUGGCCAGCUCUCCCCAGGGAGCCAGGUUCUCCUGCAUCUGCCUCUUCCACUCCUCCAGCGAUGUCUUACCUGGGAAUAAAUAUCAUGGAACCUACCACACCCACUUCUCCAACUUCCCUUGAGCUGAAAAAUACCAUUUGAACUCUGGAAGAACAUUGCAAUAAUGAACUACUAUCACAGGCGUCUAUAGGCUGUAAAGUGAAGAAAAGGCUUCCUGACUCUUCUCUUUGUCUGCCCUGAAGUCUCCAUGGACACAGGGUAUUCCGUAUCUUCUGCCUCCAUGUUCCCUCCCAACAGUUCUUCCUCUUUCUCUCCACCAAAGCUCAUCCCUCUCCCAUUUAGCAACCACCCCACAGUUCCCACGGCAUCUGCCACUCUUCCUCCUCCCUAAAUGUUCACUCCACUUACCCAGCUUGUAGUAUGGGGCAGGCACAGCUCCCCUGAUAGUGACAGGCACAGGGCCUAGUUGGCUGCCCUUGGGCACGAUGACGUAGAGGAGGCCGCCCCAGAGGCAGGAGACUGACCGCUCAGUCCUGUCCAUCCAGCAUUGGUGAGUCACCACGGGGGCUCGAGAUAGCUUCCUGGCCUUGGUAAGGUCAUCGGUGUGGCAGCCAAUCUGUACCUGGACAGGUGAUUCCACCAAGCGUUGGAGAAAUUAGAGUCUUUGUGAUGCUUUGUGAUGUGCGUGUGAGGUUGUGUAGAUGGAAGGUAUUAGACAAACAUGCCCAUGAAACCCCAGCUUCCCUUUUCUAUGUGCUAGGCAUGGAAACUUAUGAAAUUUUAGCACUCCAAAGUCAUUUGGACUUCAAGGCAUUUAAAAUCAUUUUUCUAAGGAUUUAAACAGCUCCACUAUAAGUCUUCACCUGACAUGAAUUGGUGAGAGACCAGGCUGAUCCUGGCAAAGGUCUUGUGUCUUUCUGCCAGGCAAAAUCCUGGGUUCUUCUAGCAGGACCUAAGCCAGUCUGGGGACGCUGAUAUUGAGGAUGAGCUGGGGGACUCUGCUCUGUCCUCUGUGAACACACAGGAGGCCCAUCCAGAGUGAGUGAGGUUGAUUCUCUCUCCCUCUUUGCCCAGAGCUUCCCUUUCUGGCCGCCAGAUGGGUGGAGAUCUGUUUUGUCUGGAGUCCUGGAGUUGCUUUUCUUAGGUUUGAUAUAAGCAAGCUCCAGAAAGAAUGCUGACAGAAAAGGGACCCUAGCUGUGGUAGGAAGUGGCCCUCAGAGUCAAGGAGGCAGGAUGAAUUUAAAUUCUGCAUGUAGGGCAUAUUUUGGGGAGUGAUGGGAUUAUGCACACCCUUCAGGUGUCAAGAUAAAGAGAUAAAACCAGAGUUUGUGCAGAAUGAGCUUGCUGACACACAGCCUAAAUUUGUACCGCAUGUUUCAUACUAACUCCCUCUGAGUUUGCACAUGGGACCCAUGAGGAGGCAUGAAGAGGUAACUGCCCAUGCCCGAGGAUUUUCCAGCCCUUCCUUUUCUUUCUAUCAAUCACCUACUAAUCACAGAAUCCACUCCCUACACCUUUUCUACUAAAAUAACUCUUUAAAAUAAGUACAAUGGGACAGAUUUGAGCUGGGCUCCUGUCUCCUUGUUAAUCAAAUUGCAAUAAAAUGUUUUCUUUUGUUUUUG